rnacentral:rRNA from 1 species
AACGAACGCUGGCGGCAUGCCUAACACAUGCAAGUCGAACGAGACCUUCGGGUCUAGUGGCGCACGGGUGCGUAACGCGUGGGAACCUGCCCUUAGGUUCGGAAUAACUCCCCGAAAGGGGUGCUAAUACCGGAUAAUGUCUUCGGACCAAAGAUUUAUCGCCUUUGGAUGGGCCCGCGUUGGAUUAGCUAGUUGGUAGGGUAAAAGCCUACCAAGGCGACGAUCCAUAGCUGGUCUGAGAGGAUGAUCAGCCACACUGGGACUGAGACACGGCCCAGACUCCUACGGGAGGCAGCAGUGGGGAAUAUUGGACGAUGGGCGAAAGCCUGAUCCAGCAAUGCCGCGUGAGUGAUGAAGGCCUUAGGGUUGUAAAGCUCUUUUAACCGGGAUGAUAAUGACAGUACCGGGAGAAUAAGCUCCGGCUAACUCCGUG